rnacentral:rRNA from 1 species
CCUACGGGAGGCAGCAGUAGGGAAUCUUCCACAAUGGGCGAAAGCCUGAUGGAGCAACGCCGCGUGGGUGAAGAAGGUCUUCGGAUCGUAAAACCCUGUUGUUAGAGAAGAAAGUGCGUGAGAGUAACUGUUCACGUUUCGACGGUAUCUAACCAGAAAGCCACGGCUAACUACGUGCCAGCAGCCGCGGUAAUACGUAGGUGGCAAGCGUUAUCCGGAUGUAGUGGGCGGAAAGGGAACGCAGGCGGUCUUGUAAGUCGGAUGUGAAAGCCUUCGGCUUAACCGGAGUAGUGCAUGGGAAACUGCGAGACUUGAGUGCAGAAGAGGAGAGUGACACUCCUUGUGUAGCGGUGAAAUGCGUAGAUAUAUGGCAGAACACCAGUGGCGAACGCGGCUCUCUGGUCUGUAACUGACGCUGAGGUUCGAAAGCGUGGGUAGCAAACAGGAUUAGAUACCCGGGUAGUC